rnacentral:rRNA from 1 species
GACGAACGCUGGCGGCGUGCUUAACACAUGCAAGUCGAACGGAAAGGCCCUGCUUUUGUGGGGUGCUCGAGUGGCGAACGGGUGAGUAACACGUGAGUAACCUGCCCUUGACUUUGGGAUAACUUCAGGAAACUGGGGCUAAUACCGGAUAGGAGCUCCUGCCGCAUGGUGGGGGUUGGAAAGUUUCGGCGGUUGGGGAUGGACUCGCGGCUUAUCAGCUUGUUGGUGGGGUAGUGGCUUACCAAGGCUUUGACGGGUAGCCGGCCUGAGAGGGUGACCGGCCACAUUGGGACUGAGAUACGGCCCAGACUCCUACGGGAGGCAGCAGUGGGGAAUAUUGCACAAUGGGCGGAAGCCUGAUGCAGCAACGCCGCGUGCGGGAUGACGGCCUUCGGGUUGUAAACCGCUUUCGCCUGUGACGAAGCGUGAGUGACGGUAAUGGGUAAAGAAGCACCGGCUAGCUACGUG